rnacentral:rRNA from 1 species
UACGGGGGGGGCAAGCGUUGUUCGGAAUUACUGGGCGUAAAGGGCUGGUAGGCGGCCAACUAAGUCGGAUGUGAAAUCCCCAGGCUUAACCUGGGAACUGCAUCCGAUACUGGUCGGCUUGAAUCCGGGAGAGGGAUGCAGAAUUCCAGGUGUAGCGGUGAAAUGCGUAGAUAUCUGGAGGAAUACCGGUGGCGAAGGCGGAUCUCUGGGCCAUUACUGACGCUGAGGAGCGAAAGCGUGGGGAGCGAACAGG